CCUACUGCCUGUAGAUACAUUUAUUUUUGGUAUUGCACAAGUCAUGUCUUCUGUGACUGUUCAGGACUUUAAAAUACUAAAUCCCUGGGAUGUGUUUUAGUUGAUUUUAGUCUCUGAUGCAUGAUUUUUUAUUAUUAAUUGUUUUGGCAUUUAACUAGCUGUCAGUAAGUGCGAGUACUCUCAAAUCGUACUUUAAUUUGACCUGUUGAUACUAGUUGUAAUGCUAUUUUGUUAUUUAAUGUUAUCAUGGAUCUUGUCUGAAUACCAGCUUUGAUUAUUAGGAAUUACUACAAAUUUUCAAAGUUUAUGUAGUUCAUACGAGUUUCUCGUUUCUUGUUUUUAUAUAGAUUAGACCGUUGGUUUUCCCGUUUGAAAGGUUUUACACUAGUAAUUUUUGGGGCCCUUUAUAGCUUGCUGUUCGGUGUGAGCCAAUGCUCCGUGUUGAAGGCCGUACCUUGACCUAUAAUGGUUUACUUUUAUAAAUUGUAACUUGGAUGGAGAGUUGUCUCAUUGGCACUCAUACCACAUCUUCCUAUAUCUAUAAACGCAAAAACUCAACAUUGACCAAUGAACCAUGAAAAUGAGGACAAGGUCAGAUGACACCUGCCAGCUAGACAUGUACACCUUACAAUCAUUCCAUACACCAAAUAUAGUAGACCUAUUGCAUACAGUAUAAGAAAAACAGACCAAAACACAAAAACUUAACUAUAACCACUGAACCAUGAAAAUGAGGUCAAGGUCAGAUGACACCUGCCAGCUAGACAUGUACACCUUACAAUCAUUCCAUACACCAAAUAUAGUAGACCUAUUGCAUACAGUAUAAGAAAAACAGACCAAAACACAAAAACUUAACUAUAACCACUGAACCAUGAAAAUGAGGUCAAGGUCAGAUGACACCUGCCAGUUGGACAUGUACACCUUACAGUCCUUCCAUACACCGAAUAUACUAGACCU